GAUACCAGUACGCAAGAGCAAGAUGACAUGCUUGAAGUAAAGACAAGACAAAUUUGGAUAAAGUCUGCGAUGACGAUUGAUUGAUGCUUCUCUAACCAUCAAUUCCUCUGUCUCUGUCGUUUGUCGUGCCCGACUUCUUAUUGGCUUCAGAACUGAAAACGAUUUCCUUCUCCCUGCUCUUUCACUAUCGGAGAUUCGAUCGAGCAUGGAACGGAUCGUCGGGGGCAAAUACAAGCUCGGUCGCAAGAUCGGGAGUGGAUCGUUUGGUGAAAUUCAUCUUGCUACUCAUAUCGAUACGUUUGAGAUCGUUGCUAUUAAGAUCGAGAACAACAGAACAAAGCACCCGCAGCUGCUCUAUGAAGCCAAGUUGUACAACAUUCUUCAAGGAGGAAGUGGUAUUCCUAACAUAAAAUGGUCUGGAGUGGAUGGGGAGGACAAUGUGCUCGUGAUUGAUUUGCUGGGACCAAGUCUUGAGGAUCUGUUUGUGUAUUGUGGGAGGAAGUUUUCGCUUAAAUCAGUGCUUAUGCUGGCUGAUCAAAUGAUUACAAGAAUAGAAUAUGUUCAUUCAAAAGGAUUUUUGCAUAGAGACAUAAAACCUGAUAACUUCCUCAUGGGUCUUGGACGGAAAGCAAACCAGGUCUAUAUAAUUGAUUUUGGCCUUGCAAAAAGAUACCGGGAUGCCACAACAAAUCGUCACAUCCCUUAUAGGGAGAACAAAAACCUGACAGGGACUGCUCGUUAUGCAAGUUGCAAUACUCAUCUUGGAAUUGAGCAAAGUCGACGAGAUGAUUUAGAAUCACUUGGCUAUGUUCUCCAGUACUUUCUGAGAGGGAGCCUUCCAUGGCAGGGUUUAAAAGCUGCCACAAAGAAGCAAAAGUACGACAAGAUAUGUGAGAAAAAGUUAUCGACUCCUAUUGAGGUGCUGUGCAAGUCUCAUCCUGUGGAGUUUGCAUCGUACUUCCAUUACUGCCAUUCAUUGACUUUUGAUCAGCGCCCUGAUUAUGGAUUCUUAAAGCGCUUAUUUCGUGAUUUGUUUGCUCGUGAAGGAUAUGAAUUUGACUACAUCUUUGAUUGGACUAUCAUAAAGUACCAGCAAGCUCAAAGGAGUAGAACUCAGUCUCGAUUAUCUCCAGCACCUGGGGCAACUAGCUGUCAUGCAGCACCAGUAGUCAUGAACAACCAUCAAGGUACUAAUGCUCCAUAUUCAGCUGAGGCCCGCGUAAGACCGGGCAUUGCCACUGGCUCUGGCAUACGUAUGCACUUCAAAUCAGCGACAAGAAAGCAUGAUUCUGAUGCUGUUGACAAGAAUAUUCUGAAUGAUGCACACGUGGCUUCCACUUCAUUUUCACUUUCUGGUCCAUCAAAAAUAAAUGUUGCCAAACCUAUGUUGCCUACUGAUGCUCCAAACCUGGUUCAUGGAGAUGGUGACAGAGUUGGUCCUUCGAAUAGCUGGAUUUCAUCAUUGCAGCGUGUUCAUUCUGCCAAGUGAAACAAAAGCAUUGGAUUACUUAAUUGUAAGAAGCUUCAUAUGUUGUAUUUAUGCUGUGGUUUUAUUCAUUUUGGAUCCUCUCUUCGUUCCGGCAUUGUCUGAAGGAAUGAGUAAUGGCAGGCAACAUCCACCUGGCAUUUGAGACUAGAUAAUCUAUCCCUCAUGAUGUCGACAAUUUCUGGUUGAGGAAUGGCUGGCCUGCUGGACUGCUGAAUGAAAAAUGAGGCGUAGAAUGUUGAUUUAUGGCAAUUAUCGUGUGGCGUCAAUUCUUAGUUGUGAUAGAUGGUUGUUGUGUGUAUGAAUGUGUACACCUCUCAUGCUGUAGAAUGGCUGUGUUAUAUGCAGCUGCCUCGCCAUCCUAAAUGGAGUAUCUGGAAAUGUUGAGAGAAUAGUUUUAAGAAUGGAGAACACCCAUGGAUUCAUCUGUGAUUAUUUGAAUUCAAGGUGGCAACUGCUUGGCAAAGCAGUAAAAAGAGAGCGUGAAGUGUUUGGCAUUCCAAUAAUUGGGUUGUUGUUAACCAGAGUUAUUCCUUUGGCUUAGUGCAGAUUCUAGUACAGUGUGUUUCAGAGGGGAACCAAAUCACAGAUGUUUUAGUAGUUGCGAAAGAGGCGUUUUAUUUUCCGGGUCCAUGGAAGAUUUUUAGGACCUAGGAAACAUAUGAAUCGAUUUCAUUGAGUUGCUUUUGUUCACACUGCAUCUGCCAUUGCUUCCUAUAGAACCCAGGGUAAAUUAAUUGAAGGAAGUUGGAUAGUUCAACUGCUUUUAUGGAUGUGGCUAUAUGAUGCUUGUAAUUAGAGAUCUGAACCGUUGGUUGUUUUCACAUGAAUGUUUCAGGAGGUUUAGUUACUUUGAGAUCUCAAACCUUCGGGCUGUAUCAAGUGAUGAAGGGCAGCAUCAAAUGCUGUAUCAGGUCGAUUUUAUCAUUUUAUAUGGAUUGUUUUUUUCCCCUUAUGUUUUCUUUCGGACGAACUGUUUCUCAUGCCAUCGAGUAAGCUAGACCUGUCCAGAAGGGAUGGAGCAAAACCUGGAAAACUUUUGUAUGGGGAAAGACGGACUCAAAAUUUUCAUUGACAUGGACCUUGGCGAGCACAUAGACCCGUUGGCAUUUGGAGCCAUUCAUGUAUAAUUGAUCCUCUGGGUUCUUCCCCUGUUUUGGUUUCUUUCUUUUUCCUUGAAGCAUUAUGGCAGUCUGAUCUAGUGUUGAGAUAAGGUAGCAACGGUUAUUUCGCUUUGAGCGAUGGAACAUGUGGUAUGCUAUGGUUAUAUGAGAGAUAUAAUUUGUAGUAUUCGUGUUGCGUGUGCUCGUCUA